rnacentral:rRNA from 1 species
GCAGAAUUCAGUGAAUCAUCGAAUCUUUGAACGCACAUUGCGCCCGCCAGUAUUCUGGCGGGCAUGCCUGUUCGAGCGUCAUUACAACCCUCAGGCCCCCGGGCCUGGCGUUGGGGAUCGGCGGAAGCCCCCUGCGGGCACAACGCCGUCCCCCAAAUACAGUGGCGGUCCCGCCGCAGCUUCCAUUGCGUAGUAGCUAACACCUCGCAACUGGAGAGCGGCGCGGCCACGCCGUAAAACACCCAACUUCUGAAUGUUGACCUCGAAUCAGGUAGGAAUACCCGCUGAACUUAUGCAUAUCAAUAAGCGGAGGAAAAGAAACCAACAGGG